rnacentral:rRNA from 1 species
UUAACACAUGCAAGUCGAGCGGUAAGGCCCUUCGGGGUACACGAGCGGCGAACGGGUGAGUAACACGUGGGUGAUCUGCCCUGCACUUCGGGAUAAGCCUGGGAAACUGGGUCUAAUACCGGAUAUGACCUCCGAUCGCAUGGUUGGUGGUGGAAAGAUUUAUCGGUGCAGGAUGGGCCCGCGGCCUAUCAGCUUGUUGGUGGGGUAAUGGCCUACCAAGGCGACGACGGGUAGCCGACCUGAGAGGGUGACCGGCCACACUGGGACUGAGACACGGCCCAGACUCCUACGGGAGGCAGCAGUGGGGAAUAUUGCACAAUGGGCGAAAGCCUGAUGCAGCGACGCCGCGUGAGGGACGACGGCCUUCGGGUUGUAAACCUCUUUCAGCAGGGACGAAGCGCAAGUGACGGUACCUGCAGAAGAAGCACCGGCUAACUACGUGCCAGCAGCCGCGGUAAUACGUAGGGUGCAAGCGUUGUCCGGAAUUACUGGGCGUAAAGAGUUCGUAGGCGGUUUGUCACGUCGUUUGUGAAAACUCACAGCUCAACUGUGAGCCUGCAGGCGAUACGGGCAGACUUGAGUACUGCAGGGGAGACUGGAAUUCCUGGUGUAGCGGUGAAAUGCGCAGAUAUCAGGAGGAACACCGGUGGCGAAGGCGGGUCUCUGGGCAGUAACUGACGCUGAGGAACGAAAGCGUGGGUAGCGAACAGGAUUAGAUACCCUGGUAGUCCACGCCGUAAACGGUGGGC